GAUGAACGCUAGCGGCAGGCUUAAUACAUGCAAGUCGAGGGGUAGCAAGAUUGUAGCAAUACAAUUGUUGACGACCGGCAAACGGGUGCGGAACACGUACACAACCUUCCUACAAGUGGGGAAUAGCCCAGAGAAAUUUGGAUUAAUACCCCGUAACAUAGCGAUGUGGCAUCACAUUGCUAUCAUAGCUUCGGCGCUUGUUGAUGGGUGUGCGGCUGAUUAGAUAGUUGGCGGGGUAACGGCCCACCAAGUCCACGAUCAGUAGCUGAUGUGAGAGCAUGAUCAGCCACAUGGGCACUGAGACACGGGCCCGACUCCUACGGGAGGCAGCAGUAGGGAAUAUUGGACAAUGGACGCAAGUCUGAUCCAGCCAUGCCGCGUGAAGGAUUAAGGUCCUCUGGAUUGUAAACUUCUUUUAUAAGGGACGAAAAAAGGUCUUUCUAGAUCGUCUGACGGUACCUUAUGAAUAAACACCGGCUAACUCCGUGCCAGCAGCCGCAGUAAUAC
rnacentral:rRNA from 1 species